rnacentral:misc_RNA from 1 species
AAAGUCGUAACAAGGUAACCGUAGGUGAACCUGCGGUUGGAUCAUUAAGGAACAAUUACAGCGACCAACAAGCAAAUGUUGUUUGAUGAGAAGAGUAAAAGAUUAUUACAAGUCAUGAAACGACAACUUUUGACAAUGGAUCUCUUGGUUCUC